CACCUGAUCCCAUGCCGAACUCAGAAGUGAAACGCCGUAGCGCCGAUGGUAGUGUGGGGUCUCCCCAUGCGAGAGUAGGGAACUGCCAGGC
rnacentral:rRNA from 3 species